rnacentral:piRNA from 1 species
UGUUCUUAAAACUUGUCAGGGCCUAGUGAU